GACAGAGGGUGCAAACGUUGUUCGGAAUUACUGGGCGUAAAGCGCGUGUAGGCGGCUAUCUAAGUCGGGCGUGAAAUCCCAUGGCUCAACCAUGGAAGUGCACCCGAAACUGGGCAGCUAGAGUCCUGGAGAGGAAGGUGGAAUGCUUGGUGUAGAGGUGAAAUUCGUAGAUAUCAAGCGGAACACCGGUGGCGAAGGCGGCCUUCUGGACAGUGACUGACGCUGAGACGCGAAAGCGGGGGGAGCAAACAAG
rnacentral:rRNA from 1 species